UGAGUCAGUCUAUGUAUUGACAAUUUUACUCUUCACUCUCAACCAAUACACACCACAUGUUUUUAGAUAAACAUUCCCAUCAUUUAUCCAUCUGUAGAUCUAGAAUAAUGGUUCUUCAUCUUCUAGGCAAGUAGAUUGAAAAACUUUCAAUUUGACAUUCUUUCUUUGAGGUUGAUCCAAAUGCCAAGUCAAUGAACUUGAAAAAAUGGCCAUUAUUUGCUGACUGGGAAGAGAUAUUUGGCAAGGAUAGAGCUACUGGGGAGUUUGUAGAAGGUCCAGAAGAUGCUGUUGAAGAAAUAGAAAGAAUCGAAUCUCAAGAAAUUACUAAUGACAUGUCUGUGGGAUUUUCCAUUGAUGUUGUCGACAUAGAUGAUGCUUCAGGCACAAGAAAAAAUCGAGAUGCUUAAGAGGAACCAACUGGAGCAACACAAAGUCCAUUUAACGCUCAACAUGAACCUAAUGAAUCAACUGGAGCAGCAUAAAGUUCAUUCACCGCUCAAAAAGGUGAAACCCAUCAAUCUUAGAAAAAGGGUAACUGUUUUAAAGCAUCAUCUUCUAAAGUCAAUGAAAAAGGUAGAUGCAAAAAAAGAAAAACAGUUAAAGAUGAUAAGAGAUUGUUUUUAAAGGUUUGGUGGAGGUGAUGAAACAAUUCACUGAAAGCCAUGAUAACAGGAUGUCUUCUUUAAUUGACAAUCUAGGAGAGCGUGUCUAUCUGAAAUUCGUGGUAAGAUAUAUUCUAUUAUUGGAUUCCCUGCAUAUGAAACAUACAACUCAGAUGAACGAGUUAAGGCAGCAAUGGGAAUUACUCAAAAUAUAAAGAGGAUGGAAUUCUUCUUAAGCAUCAGCGAACUUGAACGUCACAGUAUGAUAUGGAUGAUUAUUAAUGAUAAGCUUUAAUUUAUUGAAUGAUUUUUGUGUAGCUAUUUUGUAAGGUCUAACCAUAAUGGGAUCUUUUGAUGGAUGAUUACGAAUGAUAAGCUUUAAUUCACUGAA